rnacentral:lncRNA from 1 species
UUUUUUUUUUUUUUUGGUCAAAGUCUCUUGCUGAAAAUAAAAUUAAAAAAAGAAUUGUAGAAAUAUACUCACCUCAUGGAAAUAUCAAAGGUCCCUCGCACAUAAAAAAGUCCAAUUAAAUGCCAAAUCGGGUCACUUGGGAGUUGGGGCCACUUAUUGGAGGAACGUUUUUCGCCGUUGUUGACUAUUUCUUCCUUUGCUUCUUCCUGAACCCUUCCUCGUCGACAGGGGACACGACAGUGGUGAUUGUCCCCCCUAACUUUUAAGAAAUCAUAUUUGUUACCUACAACAUUUUAUAGAAUUUUGCUUUAAUUUCUAAUUUUUCCCCCUUCAAAUUUUUUUUUUAAAUUCUAGUGGUGAUUUAUGUAUGUAUAACUAAAUAUGCCCCCCCCCCCCUCCCCUUUCUCCUGCGAAAUCCUGACUCUGCCACUCCUCAUCAUCAACAUUUUCUUUGGCUUCACAAAGAACUACUCAUCAUUUUCUUGAAACCAAAGGCUGUAAUAACAAGGUCCAACAAUAAGGAUGCGUAGUUAAAAUCAGUUUUGGUGUGGACGAAUUCUGGGGAUACAACUAUGGAGAUUGAGAAGACAAUGACCACAACUACUACUUGAAAAGGAAUUCUCACACUAUAUAAAUUAUCACAAAAAGGAGCUCCAUUGAAAGCUUUUGGACGAAUUGCUCAAAUUUCAAAAAUAUUAGAAUUAAUUUUUAUUAAUAUUGGAAGCUACUAGCCAUGAUAUAUCACAAUUUAAGUUGUUAGCUUAGCAUGACAACAAUCCUUUCUUCAUCAGCGAAUCCAAUUAGCCAAGUCAAUUACUACUACUUGAAAAUAUUUUUGUUCCAGAUUAUUUAUGACACCUUCCGAGUUGUUGAAACAUUAAUUGGUGUGUGUGCGUGUGUGUAUCAAGGAAAAACAAAAGGAGGGAGUGAGAGUUAGGAAUAGUUCUUCAGUUCCAAUUGUGGUUGUGCGAGCGCUAUUGGAGGCAAAAAUAUACAUUCACAGUGAGGCCUUCAGAGCAUUAUCUUAGCUUUUAUUCUGAUGUUGGAGUUUGGAAAGAGUAUCAGCCAUUGAUUAGUUUAACUUUCGUCCGUUUUUGCGCUUGCUUCCCAGAAUCGUAGUUUAGCCAUUGCAGUUUUAGCCAUUACGCAUGAGUCCCUUGUUUGUUUGUAGAAACUCUUCUACUGCAUCUACAAAUGCCUUCAGUUACAUCUAAAUAUUAGAAAAGCAAAUAAAAGUACACCACCAAUAGCGCUUCUUGCUGUAAUGAUUGCUUCAAAGAGUCAGAUCGAUACAACCCCCCAUAUGAGUUCAAAGCCAUUUGCCAGCGAAUUAUGGAUUUCUUGAAAUGAGAUGUCCGCCGUUAUGCUGGGGAGACACAGCAGCUCUAAGGGAACUAUUUUAAGAAUGGUGCAGGAAUCAUCAAUAUCUGAUGCCACUGGAUUUUUACCAACAAUAAUAGCAUAGCUGUGACUAAAUCCCACUUGAGAAGAUAAGUACAGGUUUUGAGUGAUAUCACAGGACGCGGUCUGAACAUAGACAGGAGAUUUGGAAUUCACAGGACUUUUACAGCUCAAAAAGAUCAAUCCAUUUGGUGUCCUGAUUAAAAAAAGAAAGGAUGGCACUUCAUAUUGAAAGGCACUUGAAUUCUAGCAAGAGGAUGGGGUGUGAAUAUGAUCACAGGUUCCUUUUAUUGAAGUCCAGUGAUGAUCAGCAGGUAUGUAGUAAUUGUUAAUGACAAAAUCAUCCAUACUGAACCCGGACAACAAGAUGUAAAUUAAGACAAGGGAGACUAAAACUACCAAAAUCUGCAUAACGUAUUAAUGACCGAGUAAUUGAUUAAGUAUUUAUGUAGAUACCAAAAUCUGCACGUCUGUUUUUGAGUGAAGUCUCGUGACUUUGUAUUUGGAUGGUUUAGUUCACGAUCAGAAGAAGAGUCGAAGACUCGUGGGGGUGGACUUGACUAGUUGGCCUUUCAUAGUCAAUUAUAUUUAGGAUAAAUUAUUUAUAGCCGCCCUUUGAUUUUACAUAAUGCUAGAUGAUCACUAAGGUUUCAAAAUAGCUACAUAACCCCCUUAUGAUUUAUAUAAAUAUCCAUUUUAUCUCUCUAUAAUUUUUACAUUUAUCCACAUAAUCCCUUUAUACUUUUAUACAAGAUAGUUAAGCCAUCUAUUGAUUUAAUAUUUAAGUAAAUGUACUAUUGGUAUUUCAAUUAAAGACGUUACAUAGGUUAUUUUCCGUCAAAUCUCCACUUUAUAUAAAACUAUAGGGAGGUGAAGUGGAUAUUUUGAAACGCCAAGAGGAUUAUGUAGUAAUAGAUGAAAUCACAAGGGAUUAAAUGUAAUUUACCCUUAUGCUUAUCGAAUCUCUGCCGUUGCAAGAGGAGGCACAUACUUCAAUUAGCUGCUCAACAUGGCCCAGCUCUAGGCUGCUUGAUAAAUGGCGAAGGAUCAACUAAAGAGCUUUGGCCACAGAGCAAUUUCUUGUUCAUUUAAAAUCAAAUUAUAUGGUAUGACAAUGGCUAUGAUGUUAAUAAGGGCAUUGUUCUGGUAGUAAAUAAGUUGAAGAAAUUAUAGUAAGAUGUUCAAGGUUCGAGUCUCCUUAAUUAGUCCUAUGACAGCUUUGAAGAACCUGGUUAAAGAAAAUUGAUUAUCUUCAACUUUUAUAAAUCAAUUCCAAUUACCAAGUCAAAUCCUCCCCUAAUCAGUCAUAGUUAUAAAUUCCACAAAAAAAUGGGGGUCUAAUCAACAGAAACUGUUGUUAACGUUUACUUCCAAAUGCUAGCUCGAUAACAACCAGAAACUACCGUUUCACUGUUUACUUUAUGAUGUAUUUUAUUAUUCUAGAGGAAAUGAAGAAAGUGCAGAAAAAAAACUCGUCAAAGUAGAACAUGAGCUCAGGUAUGGUCGAUUGUUGCUUUCUCCAUUUUUCUCCAUUAUGUGUCAUUCUCAAAGCAAUUUCCUGACAGGUUCAAAACACAACUCAUGCUAAAACUCAGGCAGGCGUAGACUUGACUCCAAACCAUUUAUCUAUACAGAGAAAACUGCUCUUCCAUCAAAACUGAAAACUCAUUAGAAGAAAAAGAAAAAAUGGAAAUCUGGAGAUUGGUCAUAGUGGCCAUUAGCUUUUCUUCUCUACUAAGCCCUGCAAUCUUUGCGGACAACGUCUCAAUUGCACCUGCAGCAGCACCACCUGACGAUGUCUGUGCAGAGAAAAGAUGUAGCCCCGACGGUCCGGCAGUAAGAUUCCCAUUUCUGCUACGAGGAAAGCAGCCUGAAGAGUGUGGCUACAAUAAUCCAGGGUACAAUCUUUAUUGUGACAACGGAAACCAUACCUUACUUGAGUUUCCCCCUUCAUCAAUGAAAUUUGUGGUCAAAAGCAUCAACUAUAAGACUCAAAUGAUCCAAGUCCAGUUUGCUGAAGGUUGCCAACUCAAGUAUCUGAGAAAUCUUGAUUUAUCUUCUACCCCGUUUCAGUUUUCUGCACCAGACUACAUGAUAGAUCGAUAUACUUUGUUCAAUUGCUCAUUGGCAAAUGGUGAUAGUUGGUCUUCCGACGAUGGAUAUGACUUUCGUUGUCUAGACACCCCUGGAUACAAAGCGCGUGCAACGCCUUCUGAUACUGAAAUUCGGUUUUUGUCUGUGGAAUUAUGCACAAAGACGUAUGACACAAAUUUGGUUUCGGGGGAACUAUUUCGAAUGCGAGACUCACUGAACCUGGCCUGGUCCUUGUCUGCAUGCAAAAAAUGUGAGGUACGAGAAGGUGGAAUUUGCAGAUGGAAGAAUGGAACUAACAAUAAAUUUGACUGCUUUGGAGGAAAGAAUCUCGACCCUGGUACGUACCAUUUACUGCUCCUUCCUGGUCCAUUUCUUGAUGUUUCUCAUCGAAGUACUUCAGAUAGACUAAUUAUCUAAAGAUUCAGACUAAUUGAAAAGGAUAAAUUUAAAGAAAGGUAUCAUGUUGCUAUACCCUUCCCUGUUUUCUGAACUCACCCAAUUUGGUGACUGUGUAUUGAUAAAAUGGACCAAGAGCACGAAUACUACUAGGAACAUAUGUAAGAGGCCACAAUAAACAGAAAGAAAGAAAGAAGAGAGAGAGAGAAUUCACGAACAAUACUUGACUGUUGUACAUAGAUGUCUUUUUGACAUUUGCUAGUAUGUUACAGGUGUGUCGAAGAAAUUACUCAUUUCAGGUGAGAAUCUUGCUGUACAUUUUUCUCAGUUAAUUUUUCUAGUAUAGAGAAAAGAAAAAGUAAAAUUGACAUGUGCCUUUAACAACAGGUCCAAUCGUGGGGUGUUUCUUUCUCAUAUUAGCGACAAGCGCCCUUUACAAUGUCUAUAAAACAAAGAAAAUAGACAGAGAAAAUCAGAAGAGAAUCAGAACAUUUUUGGAGGACUACGCUGCCAUGAAGCCUACUCGAUAUUCCUAUGCUGAUAUCAAGAGGAUCACAAAUGACUUCAAGGAUAAAUUAGGUGAAGGAGGGUAUGGAAAUGUGUUCAAAGGCAAAAUUUCAAAUGAAAUAUUUGUUGCCGUGAAGCUGCUGCACAAUUCCACAGGAAAUGGGGAAGAGUUUAUCAAUGAAGUUGGAACAAUGGGCACAAUCCACCAUGUAAAUGUUGUCCGCUUGGUAGGCUUCUGUGCUGAUGGAUUCAAAAGAGCUCUUGUUUAUGAAUUUUUGCCAAACGGUUCUCUGGACAAGUUCAUAUUUCCGGAAGGUCAAGAGCAUCAUAACCUUGGAAUGGAGAAGUUACAAAACAUUGCAUUUGGCAUUGCGCCAGGUAUCGAGUACCUUCACCAAGGAUGUGAGCAGAGGAUCCUCCAUUUUGAUAUCAAACCACAUAACAUCUUGCUUGACAACAACUUUAACCCGAAAAUAUCUGAUUUUGGGUUAGCCAAGCUUUGUGAAAAGGGAAGAAGUGCAGUUUCAAUGACUGCUGCAAGAGGAACCAUGGGCUAUAUUGCCCCUGAAGUCUUCUCAAGGCACUUUGGCAAUGUGUCUUACAAAUCAGAUAUCUAUAGUUUUGGGAUGCUGUUGCUUGAAAUGGUUGGACGACGGAAGAACAUUGAUGCCAAUGUGCAAAAUGUUAGUGACAGGUCGUCAGCCUGUGCAAUAAUAAUAAUAAAAUCCUAACUACCACUAAAAGCAGUCAAUAAUUAAUCCUAGGUACUGGAGCAGGGACUCUAGAUGUGCAAUGGGUUACUUGAUUCACCCUGUUCCCAAAGAGUUUGCUUAACCCGAUAUACCAGAAUUAAUUAGUUGACGAAAAUUACUGAAUAGUAGACAGUGGCAAGUAGGGUCGUCUCCUCAGGGACUAGGGAUAUUUGUCUCUUUUUAAAUGCCAACUGGUAAGGGGGGAUUUCACCAGAAUGAAACUAAAAUCAAUUGAAUAAUUCAACAGAAAUAAAUAAAUAAUUAACUAGCACAAAUAUAGCAGGAGUUAAAUCAAGAAUGAAUAAAUUCUAGCCAAGGAUGCAACUACUCAGGCACAGUCCACUUAUCCGAUCAUUGAUGCAAGAGAGGUUCACUUAAUUUAUUAAUAGACUAGUUAUAGUUGCCGAUGAACUCUGACAACCAAUUUUUCCUUAAAUUAUUGAUAACCAAGGUACGACCAUUGAUCACCCCUAACCAGAAAAUACUCCUAGGUACGACCAUAGGAACUAAUUUCCCAAUUGCACUAAUAACUAGAAACCUAGCCCUAAUCAAUAACACGCUACGAGGGUUAUUUAAAUCAGAUCGCACGUUCCCCUAGUGUGUGAACACACCAGUUGCCACUAAUAUUAAUCAAUCAAACAAUUACGGAUUUAAUUGACUAAAUUGGCACGAGAUUAAUAAAUCACAUUGAACAUCGGGCCCUUGACAUCCAAUUAAUAAAAUAAUCCCAUGAGAAUGCAAGCAGACAACGUGCAAAUAUUAAUAAAUUAAGGAACGCGUGAAAACUAAUUAGAUCUCACAGAUUUUCGGGACUGCGCCGUCGAGUUGACCCUUGACUAGAUGAAAGGUUUAGCCACGCCGCAUAAUUAAAUCACCACACGAAUUAUUGGAUUGCAAAGUCAUUGCGGUUUUUUUACUAGAAAGCAAGGAAUAAAUGGUGUUUUUCCCAUUGGGGAAUUUUGUCGAACACCUGGCGUAUGUCAGAGGCCAGUCAAAAGAAAGAGAAAACUAAAACUAAACUAAAAGACUAAAAACUAGAGGUAAAAAGCCGUUCGUCCCUUCCUUCUGUACGUUCACUACUUAUAAAGCCAAAAGAAAGAUGCCUAAAAGCUAUUUCCCUGUGGUCCCCACACAUGUGGACAAAGUCUCCAAAGUACUUGUUGUUCCAAGUCUCUCUACGUUGCUUUCUUUGAAAAGUCCAAAUGACUAAAUGCCUUGCACUAGCUUGUGGUCCCCACCAAUUCAAGGGCCCAAAGGUUGAAGCCCUUAGAAGUCUGCAUUUUUCCAUACAAGUCCCUCCUUUUUGGUAAUUUUCUGCUUCACUCCUGAAAUUGAUUUCAAAUACCAAAUAUGAGUAAAUAUCAGCAAUUAACACAAUAUUUGUCAGGGAUAGAAGGGGAAAUCAAUAAUAAAAUUACUAACAAAUUAUACCCUAUCAAUUCCCCCCACACCUGAAUCAUGCUUGCCCUCAAGCAUGGGGAAAGUAUACAGACACCAAAAUUUGAUAAUGGUCAUUGCUCUAUCUACCAAAUUGCAAAGAUAUUCAAGAGAGAACCAUAUAUCGGGCAUUAGUAAUUAAAAUCCAAGAAGCAUCCCCCCAGUUAGCCCCUGAACCACAAAUUCCUUCAAUUUCCAAAUUAACUACUCUAAGAAAAAGGAAUGGCACACAACAUUUAUCAGCUAAUGGUCCAAAUAUUCACACAAGUCCCCAUAUUAAGUCCAUAAACCGGCAAGCUCUCCUAUUAUUUAUUCUCUCUUUUUUUUUCUUUUCCUGUUUUUUUUUAUAUAAUAAUAAUAUUGACACAAAAAGACUUAGUCUCUAGCCGCCGGAGCCUUUUGGACGCGAACUCCAACAUUUUUAGAUGAAGGAGCCCGAUUACUCAGAUCCUACCGCCAUACGACCACGUACUCAUAGAAAGUACCACCUUUUGACGCGAGAAUCGACACUUUUAGGUGCAGAUUCCCGGUUACUCAGUAGCAACUAAUAGCAGAUUACAGUCAAGUUUAUUCUCAGCCAAACAAUGCAAAAAUGCAAAACAACAACACUAAUAACCACGCAUGGGAGCAGCUUGCCUCAUUAUUGCCAAACAUGGAGAACUGGAGUCAAUAUUGGACCAGUUCACAUUAAAAUGCCAACAGUCAUUCCCUAUACCUAGAAAAGUUAACAAAGAAAUCGAAAGAACCAAGAAAUCCAAUAUUCACCAAGGAGAUAUCUUGGAUCCAACCACAAUAACCCGAUACAUUAUAUUUUAAAAAAACUUGGCAAAAGUAGAAUUAGAGUCAAUAAACCAACAUUUUUUCCUUUUUUAUUUUUUAUUUUUUUUUUGUUUUUUUCAGGAAAGAUAAGCAUCAAGAAAAGAGAAAGAAAUUAAGCAACCAAAAAUACUAAAAACUAAAAACUAAAAAACUACUAAAAACUAAAAAUACUAACUACUAAAAACUAAAACUACUAACACCCCCUUAGACCCCCCCACACCUAUAGGACACAUUGUCCUCAAUGUGACGAAUAGACAGCAAAAGGGUGAGAGAAAGCAACCAAACUUCCCUGAAGCUGGGUCAAAGCGGUGGGCGAGGUGGAAACGGAGGAGCGAAGCCUGUAUGAAGUAGAAACUGCGCCAAAUUCUGUGCCAUGCCGGCGACAUUGGUGUCAACGUUGACCAUCCGAGCCUCCAAAGCCUGAACCUGCUCCCGUAGUUGCUGCCAUUCAGUAAUCCCAUGUGGUGGAGGUGGCACAGAAGAAGAUGGCCCAGUCGUGUCCUCGGCUGACCCAGGAAAUGAUGAGGGCCCUGCUUGGGUCGAAGGGUGCGCCCCCGGAGCUCGAGGUGGCCCUGGAGGUGUAAACUGGGAGAAACCAUUGGGCAGGCGCUCAACGACUCCCAUCUUUUCUAAGCAAUCCAUGUCCAAGCGCUCCAUCUCGAAUGCCAAAUGUAGGUCGUGGUCAUCCAGGUCAAGAACGCCCAACUGGGUCGCCAAGUGGGUGAUGUAGGACCCAAGGAUCAAAGGUUUAUUGGUGUGGGCAGGAGUGGAAGGCGGCGGACGGGCUGGAAAUAGACGGCGGCGAUGUGGGCUGGUGGAGAGAGCGAGAGGCGGCGGCUCACCACGAUGAAGAAACUUACCUCAAUCACGUAGAAGGAAGUUUGGUGAUGGUAAAAAUGUCAAAAGCCCUAUGAAACAACCUCCAAUUGAAGACAUUAGAGUUUAAGAACCCUAACCUUCAAUCCCUCAAAAACCUGAUUUUAGGUGUUUUUCUUGGAUUUUAAUCAGUUAAAAAGGGUGUAUGAAGCUCAAAAGGUGUUGGGGUGAUGAUUUCUAGCAAGAUUAUGGAGUAAAAAUGAAGAUUUGUGAGUUGGGUAGAAGAAAAGAAGAAAAACGCGCCUGGAAAAUUAAGAAGAGAGGAAGAAAUGAAGCUGAAAUCGCGUUUCUGAAGCCUUUAUUGGGACACAGAAAACGCGAUUGAAAACGCGCCUUCAACUCGCAUUUUCUAAGUCGCGUUUCCUUCACAAAUCUUGCGGGAAUGAAAACGCGCCUUCAACUCGCGUUUUCUAAGUCGCGUUUCCUUCACAAAUCUUGCAGGAAUGAAAACGCGACUGUGUAGGUAAACGUGACUUUGAGUCGCGUUUAUGAUGUCGCUUUUUUUUUUUUUUGGGUCGUCAAACGCCGCGUGGGUAUGCCAAGAUUACAAAACAUCCACUGACCUCAGGAGACAAAAACAUCGCGUGGGCACGCCAAGAUUGGGGUUGCACUUCCUAGUCACAAUGAAGAAAAGUAUUAAUAUUUCUACUGCCCAACAAGGAAACGACAACAUAAAGGAAUUGAACAACUAGAAAUAAUAAAACUAAUAUUCGGGUUGCCUCCCAAACGAGCGCCUUUCUUUAGUGUCUUUGGCUAGACAUAUCCCAUAAUUUGCUUAAAACAAGCAAAUCGGGUCCUCCAAAUGCAUCGUCUCCACCCGUUCAACUGGAACCCCAUUAUAAUAUGGUUUGAGACGAUGACCAUUAAUCACAAAUUUCUUCUCCGUCUUUAGACUCUGGAUCUCCACUGCACCAUAAUCAAAGACAUUAGUCACAACAAACGGGUCAAUCCAACGAGAACGUAAUUUACCUGGAAAUAACUUCAAUUUGGAGUGAUACAGCAGAACUUUUUGCCCACAAACGAAUGUCUUCCUAGAGAUCUGUUGGUCAUGAAAAAUCUUAUUUUUCUCCUUAUAAAUUACCGCAUUCUCAUAGGCUUCAUUGCGAAUCUCCCCCAACUCCUGUAACUGUAACUUCCUUUGAAUUCCGCCCUCUUCAAUAUCCAUAUUGCAUUGCUUAACCGCCCAAAAUGCUUUAUGCUCGAACUCGUCAGGGAGGUAGUAUGGCUUCCCAAAUACCAAACGGUAAGGGGACAUGCCGAUUGGCGUCUUGUACGCCGUUCUAUAUGCCCACAAGGUAUCUUCAAGUCUCACGCUCCAAUCCUUCCUAUCAGGUCGAACCAUUUUCUCCAAAAUUGACUUGAUCUCCCGGUUCGAUACUUCCGCCUGACCGUUUGUUUGAGGAUGGUAGGAAGUGGAGACCUUAUGUGAGAACCCUGAAAAUAGACAUAUAAAUAUCAGUACACAUUUUAUUUGCAUUUUAAUUCUUUAAUCAAUUUUAGCACUAAGUCCAAUUGUUUUUAAAUAAGUACGUAGAAAUAAACGUUAGGUGCAAAAUAAAAGAAUUGUGCUAAACUACUAAACUUCUUAGUUUUGUUACAUUAACUUCAUAUUUUCAAUGGUAAACUAUUUCAUUGAUCUAAUAAUUAAUUUCUUUGAAUUCUAGUAUUGUAAUUAAUUGUUUUGAAAUAAAAGUGUAAAGAUAAUUUCUAUGUAAUAAAUAAUAUAAUUGUGCCAAUAUUGAAUUAUUCGGUUUUGCUAUACUAAAUUAAUAUUUCUUGAGUUGGAUUAAUUCUAUUACUUUAAAAUAAAUUCUUUGAUUUCCGAUAACUAGUUUUAAUCGUUAAUAAUGUUCAAUGUUAAUAGGAAUUUCCGCGUUAAAAUGAAAACCAAUGAAUUUUAGAUAAACAUGAUACUAAUAUACUAAACAUACUUAAGGCGUAAAAAUUUCGAUAAUUAUAGUCUUAUCCUUCUUUGUUUUCACAAUAAGUGCGUAAAAAUAAUUUUUAUGUGCAAACUGACACACUUGUAUUAAAUUAUUAUUUCAUUUGACUUUAUAUUACUAAAUCGAUAAAUUUCGAGUUAGACUAACUCUAUUUCUUGAGAAUAAAUAAUUGAAAAUUCUAAUAACUAAUUAAUCGCUAAAUAAUAUAAGAAUUACUAGGAACCUUAAUAAUUAAGUUUAAUCGAUAAGUAUUCGAUAUAAAAAUGGUUUAGGUAUAUUAGGAUAUAAUUAGACAUUCAAAUCACACUUGGGGAUAAUUUUUAGAAUUAAGUCGGAAUUGAGAAAUUAAGUUGAGAUUAGGGAGCAAAGUGAAAAGACUAAAAUACCCUUACCUUUCCAUGCAAACCAAACAGAACCUCUGACCGCAAAUCAAAUCACGCAGCUAUUACCAAUUUUGUACGCAACCCAUUUCUACACGCAAACCAUUCUCAUAAACCGCGGCACCACAAUACUAUCCUUUCUAUCUCAUGGCUUAAGACCACAAUUCCAAUUCCUUCUCUGCACAAGCAAACCGCAAACCACUUCCUUCUUAAUACCGAGAUACCGCCCCUCUUCACCAUUCCAUUUCCUCUACACAAAUUUCCCUCAAACUCACCACAACACCUUACCUUGUUAUCAUCGACAAGGAGUGAGCUGCGGAAGCAAACCAUGAGGACGAGAGGAAACCAGAGAAAGUGUUGAGUGAGCUGCGGCCUUGAGCUGUCCGAGAGAGGGAGAGAGCAAGAGGUCACCGUGCGAGCUUCUUUCCUUCCUCCACCACUGCCGAGCUGCCAUCUCCUUCAUCAUCCUCCACCAGCUGAGGUCAAUCACACCCACCAACUUCACAGCCUACACAAACCAAGCUCAGCCCAGCCAUACCUUAAUUCCAUAGCCAGCCGAGAGUGAGAGUGAGGGAGAGCCGAGCUUCUUGUUUCUUUUCUUUCUGUCCGUAAGCUAGAGAGGGAAGAGAGGGACUUGCGAUUCAUUCUGUCUUCUAUCCGUGAGCUGGUGAAGAGCUUGAGACCAGAUUCCUUCAUCCAGCCGCAAGCCAGAGCAAGGGAGAGAGGGAGAGGCAGAGCUAGCGGUCUGCAUUUUUUUUCUUUCCUGGACUGCCGAAGGGAGGAAAAUAAUUUCUGCUGCUAACCGUGUGUGUACUCCAUUUGAGGUAAUUUCUGAACAGAUAUUAGCUGAUUAUAGGCAAGUGAGGUCAGCUAUGGACAUGCAUGAUAAUUCUAUGCCUUCGGAUGAUGGAUUGAGGAAUUAGGAGCUUGAGAAAAUUCUGAUUAUGAAAGAAAUAGGAACGGCCGAGAGCUAAGCUGGAAAUUUGUAGCUUUAAUCUAUUAAUUCGAUGCAAUCUGAACUUAGAUAUACGUUUAGCUAAUUAUAAAUGGGAUGAUUAUGCUUUGCAUGAGGCUGCAUAGCUCUGAUUAAUCCAGAAGAUUGAAGUAGAACAGGAUCGGUUGCAUGCAAGCCAUCCGAGAGGAAGGAAAUAAAAUUCUGAUUGAUGUUUUCUCUCUUGAUGAUGACCGAACCUAACUUUGGAUUAGAUCUGGUUAAUUAUGCCUUGCACGAUGUUAAUUAGUGGUGAUCAAACAAGAAAAUUGAAGAGAUAUAAAAUCUGUUUGCAUGCGGGCUGUCCGAGGAGAAGUGGGAACAUUUUUGGUCAAGUGAUAACUUGUUUUUCUUUCUCUUGAAACUGUCUGAAAUUGAUGCUGAAUUAAAAUCUGAUUUUGGAAUUAAGACGGAUAACUAAUCAGUUAAUCUAACCAUGCAUGCUGCUGUAAUAAGCCGUGAGACUUGAGUUGGAAAUGUUAGUUCGAACCUGGAAAUUUUGAGGUUUAUGACCAUUGUUAGAAUUUAAUUCCGAACUAGAAGUGUUAAUGGGUUAAGAUAAGUUGUUGCAUGACAAAUUUGAGAACCUAAAACCAUGUUUUAGCUAAGGAAAAGUUGGAUUUAUAAACCUCUAACUGCUGGAAAUUUUCUGGAAUAGCCGAGAGAUUUCAUGUUUGUUUGCAUUUGUGAUUGCUGUCAAGUGGAAAAUUUUGUUAUGAAUUGCAUAUAGAUUAUUAGCUUUAAGUAUUAAGUGAAGUUUAAUGGAGGAAAAUCUGAGGAAAAGUUGAAUUAUGGAUUGAAACCGAGGGAAAUUUUCUGCUGCAAAAUAUUCCAGCCUGGUCGAGAGAAGGAAGUGAGCAUUUAAUUAGUUUUGUUUUCGAAUUUCAAUUCAGAUUUUUGUAUUGGAUGUUUAAGAUUUGCUUGAGGCUUGCUAAUCACCUUUUGCAUGUUUGAAGAAAGCUAGGAACAAAAGCUAUAUAAAUAAACUAUCAAUUGCUGGCAAAUUUUAUCUUAGCUGAUGGCAGAGUUAUGGGGACUUUUUGGUGGAAUAAUUUAUUGGAAUUAAGCGUUAUUUGCUUUGGUAUAUGCUGGUAUGAAUGUCAUACUUAAAUGUAUGAUGGUUUGAAUAAGAGUCUUAUGGUUUUAAAAGAGGAAAAGGAGUUUUUCACAAGUGAAAAAUGAGUUUCCAGAUUUUCGGAUUUGUUUGACCAGUCUCAAUAAAAUGCUUAUAUCUUGGUGUAGGAAAAUCCGAUUGAGGUGCCGUCAGUGGCAUUUGAAACUAGAGUCAUGGGCCUUUGUUUUGUAGAAAUUUCAUAUUUUUCCUCCAUGUGUACUGCUGUCCGUGAUUCCUCAAAGUAGGCUGUCCUGUUUGAAUGUCCUGUUUCCUCAGGAAACUGAAAUCUUGACUUGGAUAGAAUAUUUGGCCCAUUUGUGAUUUGAAUCUCUGAAAAGUGUCUUCUGGGAUGUGAUAGUAUUAAAAAUCUAUUCUACAACAGUAUAAUUUUCAUAAUUGUUUGAUUUGUGGAACAUGAACUAAAGCAAUUUUUGAAGGAAAAUAUUUUCCAGCAUGACCGAACUGGUUGGGACUUUUGGUGAGUUUAUUUGCUGGAUUUGUGUAUUAUUUACUUUAGCUUGGUUUGGACAGAUUAUAAUCUAUAUGUAUAGUGAUUCUAGCAAAUAAAAGUGGAAAAUUUAAUGGAUAUUUUAGAUUCUUGGAAUCAUUUGGAUCUCAAGUUGGUUGUAGUUUUUGUUCUUGUUUUGAAUGGAUUGGUAUUUGAAAGUGUGUAUUGGUUGUCAAGAGCUAAUGAUUGAUGAAACCCUUGGCCAUUUGAAUGAAUUUAUAAGUACUACUGGAUGAGGAAAGUUAAUUGCUGGAAUGUCUUGGAGGCCUUACUUUUAUUUUUAUUUGCUUAUGAUGGGCUUGCUGAAACCAAGUGCUAAUGAUUGAUGAAGCCUUGGUCGUUCAUUUUAUUUUUAUCAGAAAUGCAUUUGUUGAAAUCUAGGGCUAAUGAUUGACGAAACCCUAGUAAUUUGAUAUGUGAUUUUUGCCAUAUUUUGAUCCAUAUUAUGAUUUCGAAACGGAAUCGGAGCUGUGGAAGUUGUAUCGACCUUGUGAACUCGAGUAACUGUGAUCAAAUAAAUCAAAAAUAUUUUUCCAGCUAGUAUUAUAUUAUAAAACUCCAUAUCUAGUAUUUUGCCUAAAACUUUCCAACUCGAUAAUUUCCUUUAGCUCAAACUAGCCUUGAUAGCUAUAGUAUAUAAAUUCUAUAGCUUUUGAAAACUCUAAGUUUUAUAUUAUUCCUUUUCUUUUCAUUAAGUAUUGCUCUUGGCUAGUUGUUUAGAGGAACAUUUCCAAAAAUACAAGAUUUUAGUGACUUUAAAAAAAACCAGCAGAAACUUACUCGGCAAGAAAACUUACUUUAAAUAAAAUAAUACUAGCCGCACUUUUAUAAAGAAAAGUAUUUAGAGGAAGGCCAUGUAAAACAUUUCCUACUUUUACUAACCCUUAAUCCUUAGUGGAUUGUCGAAUUAUUUCGAGAGAAUAAACCAUUUAUAAACUAGAGAAUCUUUUAUACUUAUAAACCAAUAACUUGAAUAGAAAUUGAAAAUGUUAUAUUUGUACAUUAAAGGCCAAACUUGAUUUUAAUAAUUUUAAAUAAAAGACGCAGAAAACUUGUUUGGCAAGAAACCUUAUUCAAAGCAAAUUGGUUCUGGUUUGCACCUCUAGAAAGAAAGAAAUCCUAUGAAGUAUUUCAUCACUUUCACUAGUUUAACUCUAGGGAAAUUGUUAAUUUAUUUGGAGUAGAUAAACUAGUUAUAUACCAGAUAACUUUGUAUUCAUAAACCAAUAACCGUACAACAACACUUAUAGUUUUAAAUUCUGGAUUUCUAGGGUAUAGCGAGGACGUGGAAUUUUGAAUCCCAGCUUGAACUCUGAACUUCACUUUUGGGUGAGUGUCCCUGCUUGUUUUAUGCUUAUGUGGUUAAGCGCUUUAUCAACUCGCUAUGUGAUAAUUGUCAAAAUGAAAUAAAUGGUUUCUGAUCCAUCGAAGUGAGCAGUGUGUACUUUAUCGCACUAGCCGUUCGAGUGGUGACGUGUGUGAAACAUUUUCUAAUGAAUCCGUGAAUCUAAAUGUAGUUACGUCAUUGUUGAAUCCCUCGACGCAUGUAUCUGAUUGCAAUCACGUCAUUGGGUGAAUCUCUCGACGCAUGUAUUUGAUUGCAAUCACGUCUUUGGUGAAUCCUUGACGCAUGAAUCUAACUACCAUAACGUCGUUGGGUGAAUCCCUCGACUAAUUUUAUACGGGUAUAUCUCGAGUAUACUGCGUCGGUAGGCGAAGUUCGGGCCCGAAGCAGAGGUAUGAACAGUGACGGGUUAGGAUUAAAAUAAGUGGAUCUACAUGGACUAUAAGUAGUGAAAGUUGACGGAGGGUCAACUACGAUGGUAUCUGAUCAAGCGUGGAAAAUGGCUCCUGAGAGCCCUUGUAUCCUACCUUGUGCUGUUACACGCUUUCCUAACUGUUCAAUUUGAUUAAAUUAUUGCUCGUUGUUUGAUUUAUGUGAUUGCAUGUUUUGGGGCACCACUGAGCUUUAGCUCACCCCACGUUUAUUGUUUUCCUUAACAGGUUCUGGAAACUGAAAGCUGGAUGCUUACUUAUGUUUUCCUUAUGGAUUGUAUUUGACUACUAUAACUUAUUCUGUGGGCUGUAAUGUGUUAUUUGGGAUAAUGUACUUUUCUUUUUGGGUUGCCACUUGAAGCUGGAAAAUGUGUAAAUCCUAAUUCGAUUACUUGGCUUGUAAGCUUGUAUUAGGGAUUUAUGUAUUUAUCUAUCUGGUUGGGUACGACUUAUACUUCGGUACGUAGCUCGUAGGUCGUUUAAGGGCCUCGACUGGUUAUUUUUAUCAUUGCUAUCUCUGAAGAAUGGGGCUUUAGGUAUGAUUCUAUUUGGGAAAAGUUGAUUUGUAAUAGAUUAGUUUAUUCUUCGAAAGGUUUCGGGUUAGAUUGCUCGCGUGAGUCCUGGCGAGAGUUGGGCAGACGGCCCGCCAACCCUUUGGUUCGCCUCAGGGGGAAGUGGGGUCGCCACAGGUGGUAUCAGAGCUCUUAUCGAGCUCAAACCGGGAAAAGGUUCUCGGACUGUGAGGAUUGGCUUGUUAAGUGUGGAACAAAAGUCUAUAGUUGGGGAUAUUAGAUAUGUAUGUUGGGUAGGAAUCUCAAAUGUAGGUGAUUCAUGCUUGGGACUGGCCAGCUUGAGUUGUGAAUCAUCUUAUUUUCGGAUUCUUGUACCCGAGUACGAAAUAUUGCAUUUAAUGGAGUAUUUGCAAUUGAAAAGAAUUCAGUAUAUCGUAUUAUGAUGUGACUAGAAAUCAUGAUUAAGUUUGGAAAAGUAGAACUGAAAGCAACAAGUUUAGCUUUUGAAAGUUAAAAGGGGAAGAGCCAAUAGUGAGACCUUGAAGAUUAGUGCCAAUUUUGCUUUUGAGAUGAAUUUGCCAUGUGAGAUGAGUUCUCGAUGACAUUGUGGUCUUUCAGUUUUAUUGGAGGAUUAUUGGGGCUAAUGUUCGAAAGGAUAAAGAUAACUAGUUGUUAGGAUAUUAGAAAAGCCAAUGUAUGAAAUGUUUGAGAUCAUUUAGAAUACUUAAGAGCCACUGAUGUACUUAGGUAAUGAUCAUAUUAUUUGAUUUGAUAUUCGACAUAGUAGAUCUACAAGUUACUAAGGAAAUUUGAUUAGUGUUACUAAGGGGGUCUAGUGGGAUUGUCCAGGACUAAACUAAUGAAGGUUAAGUUGAAUCUAAACUAAGGGUUAGGCUAUUAGCUAUGUGGUUAUAAUAAUUUGUGUAUUGUUGUAUUGUUUCCUUUCAUGCUUAUGAAGAUUGAAGUUUGAGUUAUGUAUGAAAAUGUUGAAUGUAUACAUGAAUUAUCUAGUUUUUGAAGUUGUAUGAAUUUGGUAUACAAUGUGACUUAUAUUGUGAGUAUAUAAUUUGAUGAUUACGUGUUUAAUUUUUGUAAACGCUGUAAUAAUUAUUAGUCCCGGAAAUUAAAUAAUUACUAACCUAAGUGAAAUUUUGGUAACCAAAGUGGUGUAUAGAACUAUGAGAUUAAGAAAAAAAUAAAAAUAAAAAUAAAAAUAAAAAUAAACAAUAUAUGGAUUAGGUGGUGAUUAUUAGGGCAAUCAUGUCUUGGUAAAAUCGUUGUAGUUAUGAGUUAAAGAAAUAAUUAUCGUAUCAUGUAUACAAGUUGUUGAUGUAACCAUUAUUAAUAACCAGAAAUAGGAAAGGGUAAGAACAUGAAUAAAAUUUAAAAGUUAGUAAACUCGAUCUAUUUAUCAGCUCAUACCUUUAGAAGAAAGGUUAGACCAACGUUGAAAUAAUGACUUGAUAGAUCCAGUGAAUGAAAAAAAAAAUGAAAUAAACUGAACUUUUGUGAAUAAAGGUAGGAAUUUCAAGGAUUUACCAACUCUAUUACGGAUAGAAAUCAAUAGGAUGGGAUGUUGGAGUCGGAACUUUGCCAUGUUUGGAUAUUGAAUGCACUUAAAAAAAAAAAGAGAUUUGUUUGAUUUCUGAUUAGAGUGUACCUGAGCUUGAUAUAUGUUGUAAUUGACUUUGUUCUGUGAUGUAAUUAAAUUGAUCAUGAAUUUGCUUGGUAUUAAUGAUAUAUAUGGAGUGAAAUUAACCGCAAUCGUAUGUAUGCAUAAUUGGUUAUCACUUAUUUUAAAUCAACUCGUUGUGAGAAAUAUAGAGCUUAGGGAGCGAUAAUGUCAGAUUGAUAAUGCUAUCUUGGGUGAAAAUUUUUAAUAAAGUAUGACGCGCAGAUAAAUUGUAAAUUCAAGUAGUUGAACUUUUAUAUACUUUGGGAAGCAGUCGAUUCGACACUUAAAUUACGGGGAAAACACUAAGACAAAUUCCUUUAGUUAAGGUUUCGUGGCAAACAUGAAUGAUUAGACGAAGUGAUGUGGAAAUGGAAGAUAAAAUACGGAAAGAAUAACCGGAAAUCGUUACGAUUAAAAGUGUGAAAUUUUGACUAUCAAGAUCAGAACCAAUUUCUUUUCUUCUUGUCCUCCAUUCGAAUAACCAUUUUAUUUAUAUAUGUAUAUAGACCACAAUUUUUCCAAAGGUGUAUUUAAUAUCCUGUUAUUAGUCACAAAAGGUACGUAAAAUUUUGAAAGUUGAGUUUUAAUGAUGUAUAAGUGUUUCAGGAGCUAAUGGUAGACAGACUUCGACAAAGAUGCUAUCAAUGGGAAUUUUAGAAGGAACCCACCCACGUAGCUACCUCUAUUGACCGUAUGACUGAUACCUUAGAACGGUUGGUGGAAUACCAAAGCCUUAGGCCACUCAACUAACCUAGGAACCAAAAGAGUUGCAAAAAUGGAGUGACUCUUGAAAUUCGUCUAUCUAGGUUUCAUGGGGAAUCUGACCUCAAAAUAAUAAGAAUGAAUCGAAUGAAUACAACAAGGCCUAGCGAGAAUCAGAUGUAUGACUGUUGUUUUAAACAAUGUUGAAGGUAAGUAUUGAAUAGUGCACUAAGACAUGAAAUUUUCUUUGGGAUAAGGCUUCCUUAUUCUGUCGUGAUAGUGAUUAACGAUGGUAAUCUUGGUGACAUUUAAGAACUCGUUGGAUUAAUUAGAAAGUAGUAGGUUUAUAUCUUGGAGUAACCAUCAGUAAAAGGAUGAAGGAGUAUUACGGCUUAAGCUUCCAGUAUGAAUAGUUGCUUAUUUUGAUUCUAUGAUCUGCCUAGCAGGCUAGCUGUUCGACUUAAGCCAACUAGUAAGAUGACAACUUUGGAAGACAUGCGUAAGGAAAUGGACAUUCUCCGAAAUGAGGUAGAAUUUCAAAAGAAAUUGGCUGGUUACUGGGAAGGACGAUGGAAACAAGAAUAUGCAGAGAAAAUUGAGCUACUACGCCAAAAUGUAGAACUGGAGAAGGAAAAUAAAGAAAACUCUUGAAAUAGCCAGGCCACCACUUCUCAUGCAAAUUGUGGGUAUUGUAGAAAAACUGGCCAUACUAAGGACGGAUGUUGGAGGAAACAGGGAAAGUGCUUGAGGUGCGGUAGUACCAAGCACAAGAUUUCGGGAUGCCCUAGAGCAUUUACAAAGAGGAAGUACUCAGCAGAUAACUAAGUCCGCUACAGAUCGACCAAGUGCCAGAUGAAAGUAAUUCGUGCUAAUGGCCAUGAACGGGGUCCUAGUAGUGAAUGUUUCACAAAUCAAGAGGGUUUGACCUCACUCGAGGAAUAGAGGUUAUAGUUACCCUAAACUAGAAUAGCACUUUUGGAGAUUGUGAUCUUUCGCUAUGAAUUAUAUGUACGCUACGAAUUGUAUGUACUCUAUGAAUAUCCUUUAUUUUAGUUACUUUGCUAUUAGAAAUAUUAUAACAAAUAAAUGGUUAAAUUAGUGCCCAAUUGAAUUUAUAAAACAAAAAAAAAUUGAGAAUUUAGAAAUAUUCUAGAAUAGUGCAAUAUAUAUAUAUGAAUCGAAUAUAUACGAUAGGUAUAUUGUAAUUUGAGCAAUUUGAAUACAUUAUAUAGUUGAAUAAAUUACAUGACUAAUUAAUUCUCCUUAAGGCCAAACGUGUGGAAACCUACUAAAUUGAUAUAAGCGAAAUUUUUCGAGGUACACAUAAAUUAGAACCAACGAAAUUUUUUUUAGUCAACGCGUGAGACAAUAAAAAUAUGGCCUUGUAGCAAAUAAAUGAUCUAAAACUAAACGACCGAACAAAUCUUGGGAACUAGAAGAAGAGAUGCAAAAAGUAACCCGACCUAUCUCUUGAGAAAGUAAGAAUUUUGAGGACAAAAUUCAUUUUAAGGAGGGGAGGAUGUGAGAACCCUGAAAAUAGACAUAUAAAUAUCAGUGCACAUUUUAUUUGCAUUUUAAUUCUUUAAUAAAUUUUAGCACUAAGUCCAAUUGUUUUUAAAUAAGUACGUAGAAAUAAACGUUAGGUGCAAAAUAAAAGAAUUGUGCUAAACUACUAAACUUCUUAGUUUUAUUACAUUAACUUCAUAUUUUCAAUGGUAAACUAUUUCAUUGAUCUAAUAAUUAAUUUCUUUGAAUUCUAGUAUUGUAAUUAAUUGUUUUGAAAUAAAAGUGUAAAGAUAAUUUCUAUGUAAUAAAUAAUAUAAUUGUGCCAAUAUUGAAUUAUUCGGUUUUGCUAUACUAAAUUAAUAUUUCUUGAGUUGGAUUAAUUCUAUUACUUUAAAAUAAAUUAUUUGAUUUCCGAUAACUAGUUUUAAUUGUUAAUAAUGUUAAAUGUUAAUAGGAAUUUCCGCGUUAAAAUGAAAACCAAUGAAUUUUAGAUAAACAUGAUACUAAUAUACUAAACAUACUUAAGGCGUGAAAAUUUCGAUAAUUAUAGUCUUAUCCUUCUUUGUUUUCACAAUAAGCGCGUAAAAAUAAUUUUUAUGUGCAAACUGACACACUUGUAUUAAAUUAUUAUUUCAUUUGACUUUAUAUUACUAAAUCGAUAAAUUUCGAGUUAGACUAACUCUAUUUCUUGAGAAUAAAUAAUUGAAAAUUCUAAUAACUAAUUAAUCGCUAAAUAAUAUAAGAAUUACUAGGAACCUUAAUAUUUAAGUUUAAUCGAUAAGUAUUCGAUAUAAAAAUGGUUUAGGUAUAUUAGGAUAUGAUUAGACAUUCAAAUCACACUUGGGGAUAAUUUUUAGAAUUAAGUCGGAAUUGAGAAUUUAAGUUGAGAUUAGGGAGCAAAGUGAAAAGACUAAAAUACCCUUACCUUUCCAUGCAAACCAAACAGAACCUCUAACCGCAAAUCAAAUCACGCAGCUAUUACCAAUUUUGUACGCAACCCAUUUCUACACGCAAACCAUUCUCAUAAACCGCGGCACUACAAUACUAUCCUUUCUAUCUCACGGCUUAAGACCACAAUUCCAAUUCCUUCUCUGCACAAGCAAACCGCAAACCACUUCCUUCUUAAUACCGAGAUACCGCCCCUCUUCACCAUUCCAUUUCCUCUGCACAAAUUUCCCUCAAACUCACCACAACACCUUACCUUGUUAUCAUCGACAAGGAGUGAGCUGCGGAAGCAAACCAUGAGGACGAGAGGAAACCAGAGAAAGUGUUGAGUGAGCUGCGGCCUUGAGCUGUCCGAGAGAGGGAGAGAGCAAGAGGUCACCGUGCGAGCUUCUUUCCUUCCUCCACCACUGCCGAGCUGCCAUCUCCUUCAUCAUCCUCCACCAGCUGAGGUCAAUCACACCCACCAACUUCACAGCCUACACAAACCAAGCUCAGCCCAGCCAUACCUUAAUUCCAUAGCCAGCCGAGAGUGAGAGUGAGGGAGAGCCGAGCUUCUUGUUUCUUUUCUUUCUGUCCGUAAGCUAGAGAGGGAAGAGAGGGACUUGCGAUUCAUUCUGUCUUCUAUCCGUGAGCUGGUGAAGAGCUUGAGACCAGAUUCCUUCAUCCAGCCGCAAGCCAGAGCAAGGGAGAGAGGGAGAGGCAGAGCUAGCGGUCUGCAUUUUUUUUCUUUCCUGGACUGCCGAAGGGAGGAAAAUAAUUUCUGCUGCUAACCGUGUGUGUACUCCAUUUGAGGUAAUUUCUGAACAGAUAUUAGCUGAUUAUAGGCAAGUGAGGUCAGCUAUGGACAUGCAUGAUAAUUCUAUGCCUUCGGAUGAUGGAUUGAGGAAUUAGGAGCUUGAGAAAAUUCUGAUUAUGAAAGAAAUAGGAACGGCCGAGAGCUAAGCUGGAAAUUUGUAGCUUUAAUCUGUUAAUUCGAUGCAAUCUGAACUUAGAUAUACGUUUAGCUAAUUAUAAAUGGGAUGAUUAUGCUUUGCAUGAGGCUGCAUAGCUCUGAUUAAUCCAGAAGAUUGAAGUAGAACAGGAUCGGUUGCAUGCAAGCCAUCCGAGAGGAAGGAAAUAAAAUUCUGGUUGAUGUUUUCUCUCUUGAUGAUGACCGAACCUAACUUUGGAUUAGAUCUGGUUAAUUAUGCCUUGCACGAUGUUAAUUAGUGGUGAUCAAACAAGAAAAUUUAAGAGAUAUAAAAUCUGUUUGCAUGCGGGCUGUCCGAGGAGAAGUGGGAACAUUUUUGGUCAAGUGAUAACUUGUUUUUCUUUCUCUUGAAACUGUCUGAACUUGAUGCUGAAUUAAAAUCUGAUUUUGGAAUUAAGACGGAUAACUAAUCAGUUAAUCUAACCAUGCAUGCUGCUGUAAUAAGCCGUGAGACUUGAGUUGGAAAUGUUAGUUCGAACCUGGAAAUUUUGAGGUUUAUGACCAUUGUUAGAAUUUAAUUCCGAACUAGAAGUGUUAAUGGGUUAAGAUAAGUUGUUGCAUGACAAAUUUGAGAACCUAAAACCAUGUUUUAGCUAAGGAAAAGUUGGAUUUAUAAACCUCUAACUGCUGGAAAUUUUCUGGAAUAGCCGAGAGAUUUCAUGUUUGUUUGCAUUUGUAAUUGCUGUCAAGUGGAAAAUUUUGUUAUGAAUUGCAUAUAGAUUAUUAGCUUUAAGUAUUAAGUGAAGUUUAAUGGAGGAAAAUCUGAGGAAAAGUUGAAUUGUGGAUUGAAACCGAGGGAAAUUUUCUGCUGCAAAAUAUUCCAGCCUGGUCGAGAGAAGGAAGUGAGCAUUUAAUUAGUUUUGUUUUCGAAUUUCAAUUCAGAUUUUUGUAUUGGAUGUUUAAGAUUUGCUUGAGGCUUGCUAAUCACCUUUUGCAUGUUUGAAGAAAGCUAGGAACAAAAGCUAUAUAAAUAAACUAUCAAUUGCUGGCAAAUUUUAUCUUAGCUGAUGGCAGAGUUAUGGGGACUUUUUGGUGGAAUAAUUUAUUGGAAUUAAGCGUUAUUUGCUUUGGUAUAUGCUGGUAUGAAUGUCAUACUUAAAUGUAUGAUGGUUUGAAUAAGAGUCUUAUGGUUUUAAAAGAGGAAAAGGAGUUUUUCACAAGUGAAAAAUGAGUUUCCAGAUUUUCGGAUUUGUUUGACCAGUCUCAAUAAAAUGCUUAUAUCUUGGUGUAGGAAAAUCCGAUUGAGGUGCCGUCAGUGGCAUUUGAAACUAGAGUCAUGGGCCUUUGUUUUGUAGAAAUUUCAUAUUUUUCCUCCAUGUGUACUGCUGUCCGUGAUUCCUCAAAGUAGGCUGUCCUGUUUGAAUGUCCUGUUUCCUCAGGAAACUGAAAUCUUGACUUGGAUAGAAUAUUUGGCCCAUUUGUGAUUUGAAUCUCUGAAAAGUGUCUUCUGGGAUGUGAUAGUAUUAAAAAUCUAUUCUACAACAGUAUAAUUUUCAUAAUUGUUUGAUUUGUGGAACAUGAACUAAAGCAAUUUUUGAAGGAAAAUAUUUUCCAGCAUGACCGAACUGGUUGGGACUUUUGGUGAGUUUAUUUGCUGGAUUUGUGUAUUAUUUACUUUAGCUUGGUUUGGACAGAUUAUAAUCUAUAUGUAUAGUGAUUCUAGCAAAUAAAAGUGGAAAAUUUAAUGGAUAUUUUAGAUUCUUGGAAUCAUUUGGAUCUCAAGUUGGUUGUAGUUUUUGUUCUUGUUUUGAAUGGAUUGGUAUUUGAAAGUGUGUAUUGGUUGUCAAGAGCUAAUGAUUGAUGAAACCCUUGGCCAUUUGAAUGAAUUUAUAAGUACUACUGGAUGAGGAAAGUUAAUUGCUGGAAUGUCUUGGAGGCCUUACUUUUAUUUUUAUUUGCUUAUGAUGGGCUUGCUGAAACCAAGUGCUAAUGAUUGAUGAAGCCUUGGUCGUUCAUUUUAUUUUUAUCAGAAAUGCAUUUGUUGAAAUCUAGGGCUAAUGAUUGACGAAACCCUAGUAAUUUGAUAUGUGAUUUUUGCCAUAUUUUGAUCCAUAUUAUGAUUUCGAAACGGAAUCGGAGCUGUGGAAGUUGUAUCGACCUUGUGAACUCGAGUAACUGUGAUCAAAUAAAUCAAAAAUAUUUUUCCAGCUAGUAUUAUAUUAUAAAACUCCAUAUCUAGUAUUUUGCCUAAAACUUUCCAACUCGAUAAUUUCCUUUAGCUCGAACUAGCCUUGAUAGCUAUAGUAUAUAAAUUCUAUAGCUUUUGAAAACUCUAAGUCUUAUAUUAUUCCUUUUCUUUUCAUUAAGUAUUGCUCUUGGCUAGUUGUUUAGAGGAACAUUUCCAAAAAUACAAGAUUUUAGUGACUUUAACAAAAACCAGCAGAAACUUACUCGGCAAGAAAACUUACUUUAAAUAAAAUAAUACUAGCCGCACUUUUAUAAAGAAAAGUAUUUAGAGGAAGGCCAUGUAAAACAUUUCCUACUUUUACUAACCCUUAAUCCUUAGUGGAUUGUCGAAUUAUUUCGAGAGAAUAAACCAUUUAUAAACUAGAGAAUCUUUUAUACUUAUAAACCAAUAACUUGAAUAGAAAUUGAAAAUGUUAUAUUUGUACAUUAAAGGCCAAACUUGAUUUUAAUAAUUUUAAAUAAAAGACGCAGAAAACUUGUUUGGCAAGAAACCUUAUUCAAAGCAAAUUGGUUCUGGUUUGCACCUCUAGAAAGAAAGAAAUCCUAUGAAGUAUUUCAUCACUUUCACUAGUUUAACUCUAGGGAAAUUGUUAAUUUAUUUGGAGUAGAUAAACUAGUUAUAUACCAGAUAACUUUGUAUUCAUAAACCAAUAACCGUACAACAACACUUAUAGUUUUAAAUUCUAGAUUUCUAGGGUAUAGCGAGGACGUGGAAUUUUGAAUCCCAGCUUGAACUCUGAACUUCACUUUUGGGUGAGUGUCCCUGCUUGUUUUAUGCUUAUGUGGUUCAGCGCUUUAUCAACUCGCUAUGUGAUAAUUGUCAAAAUGAAAUAAAUGAUUUCUGAUCCAUCGAAGUGAGCAGUGUGUACUUUAUCGCACUAGCCGUUCGAGUGGUGACGUGUGUGAAACAUUUUCUAAUGAAUCCGUGAAUCUAAAUGUAGUUACGUCAUUGUUGAAUCCCUCGACGCAUGUAUCUGAUUGCAAUCACGUCAUUGGGUGAAUCUCUCGACGCAUGUAUUUGAUUGCAAUCACGUCUUUGGUGAAUUCCUUGACGCAUGAAUCUAACUACCAUAACGUCGUUGGGUGAAUCCCUCGACUAAUUUUAUACGGGUAUAUCUCGAGUAUACUGCGUCGGUAGGCGAAGUUCGGGCCCGAAGCAGAGGUAUGAACGGUGACGGGUUAGGAUUAAAAUAAGUGGAUCUACAUGGACUAUAAGUAGUGAAAGUUGACGGAGGGUCAACUACGAUGGUAUCUGAUCAAGCGUGGAAAAUGGCUCCUGAGAGCCCUUUUAUCCUACCUUGUGCUGUUACACGCUUUCCUAACUGUUCAAUUUGAUUAAAUUAUUGCUCGCUGUUUGAUUUAUGUGAUUGCAUGUUUUGGGGCACCACUGAGCUUUAGCUCACCCCACGUUUAUUGUUUUCCUUAACAGGUUCUGGAAACUGAAAGCUGGAUGCUUACUUAUGUUUUCCUUAUGGAUUGUAUUUGACUACUAUAACUUAUUCUGUGGGCUGUAAUGUGUUAUUUGGGAUAAUGUACUUUUCUUUUUGGGUUGCCACUUGAAGCUGGAAAAUGUGUAAAUCCUAAUUCGAUUACUUGGCUUGUAAGCUUGUAUUAGGGAUUUAUGUAUUUAUCUAUCUGGUUGGGUACGACUUAUACUUCGGUACGUAGCUCGUAGGUCGUUUAAGGGCCUCGACUGGUUAUUUUUAUCAUUGCUAUCUCUGAAGAAUGGGGCUUUAGGUAUGAUUCUAUUUGGGAAAAGUUGAUUUGUAAUAGAUUAGUUUAUUCUUCGAAAGGUUUCGGGUUAGAUUGCUCGCGUGAGUCCUGGCGAGAGUUGGGCAGACGGCCCGCCAACCCUUUGGUUCGCCUCAGGGGGAAGUGGGGUCGCCACACCUUAUGCAAGACACCAUACCUCCUGAAAAGCGCAGCAAUCGUCUUGUUGCAGAAAUGGGUACCCCGAUCACUUACAAUUGCUCGCGGCAUCCCAAAGCGAACAAAAAUAUUAGACUUGAUGAAUUCUGCUACUACUUUGGAAUCAUUAGUACGGGUGGCUUUUGCUUCCACCCAUUUUGAGACAUAAUCCACGGCAAGCAAUAUAUACAAAAAACCAAAAGAUGAAGGAAAAAGGUCCAUAAAGUCAAUACCCCAAACGUCAAAAAUCUCGACAAAAAUCAUUGGGGUUUGGGUCAUUUGAUCUCUACAAGAAAUAUUACCUACUCGUUGACACUUAUCACAUGACUUACAAAAUAAGUAGGCAUCCUUAAAGAGGGUCGGCCAAUAAAAUCCACUCUCUAGAACCUUACGAGCAGUUCUCUUUGGUCCAAAGUGACCUCCACAUGCGAAAGAGUGACAAUAAGAUAAAAUAGAUUGGAAUUCAUUUUCACUUACACAUCUACGAAUGAUUUGGUCGGCACCACGUUUCCAGAGGUAAGGGUCAUCCCAGAUGUAAGACUUUGCGUCACUCCUCAAUUUGUCCCUUUUUGCCUUAGGCCAUCCUGCAGGAAACUUGUCAGUAACUAGAAAAUUAACCAUCUCCGCAUACCAAGGCAAAGACAAAUUAAUAGAAAAUAAAUGCUCAUCGGGAAAAGUUUCUCUCAAUGGGAUAUUAUCUUCUACGAUUUGCACUCGACUUAAGUGAUCUGCUACCAGAUUUUCAGAUCCUUUCUUAUCCUUGAUCUCCAAGUCGAACUCUUGGAGCAGUAGUAUCCACCUUAUCAGUCACGGUUUUGCCUCUUUUUUGGUCAACAGAUAUCGCAGGGCUGCAUGAUCAGAGAAAAUAAUAACUUUAGCACCAAGUAAAUAGGACCAAAAUUUCUCUAAAGCAAAAAUUACAGCUAAAAGCUCCUUUUCGGUGGUCGAAUAGUUUAACUGAGCUCCGUUCAAGGCUCGAGAGGCGUAGUAUAUAGCAUGGGCUGCCUUUCCCACUCUUUGACCUAGCACCGCGCCCACGGCAUAGUCGCUGGCAUCGCACAUGAUCUCGAACGGUAGGUUCCAAUCAGGGGCUUGGAUAAUAGGUGAGGAGGUCAGUAGCUCAUUUAACCUAUCAAACGCCCCCUUACAUGACUCAUCGAACUCGAAGGGUAUCUCCGUUUGCAGCAGUUGGAAUAAAGGCGCUCCAAUUUUGGAGAAGUCCUUUAUGAACCUCCUGUAGAAACCUGCGUGACCCAAAAACGAACGCACUUCCCGCACACUCGCGGGGUAAGGUAAAGUCGAUAUCACAUCUAUUUUUGCCUUAUCAAGCUCAAUACCCCUAGACGACACCACAUGACCCAAAACUAUCCCGUGCUCGACCAUAAAAUGGCAUUUUUCCCAAUUGAGCACGAGAUUAGCUUCUAUGCACCUUAUUAAAAUUAAUUUCAGAUUAUCUAGACAGUUAUCAAAACUUUCCCCAUACACACUGAAAUCAUCCAUAAAAACCUCAAUAAUCUUCUCAACAUAUUCUGAAAAAAUACUGACCAUACAGCGCUGGAAGGUAGCAGGUGCAUUGCAUAACCCAAAUGGCAUCCUCCGGUAUGCGAAUGUUCCAAACGGGCACGUGAAGGUAGUCUUCUCCUGGUUCUCAGGUGCGAUAGCAAUCUGGAAAUAACCUGAAAAUCCAUCCAAAAAAUAAUAAUAAGCUCGACCUGCUAAUCGCUCUACCAUUUGAUCAAUGAAAGGAAGGGGAAAGUGAUCCUUUUUCGUGACGGCGUUCAAUUUCCUAUAAUCUAUGCACUGCCGCCACCCAGUGGGCUUCCGGACUGGUACGAGCUCACCCUCCUGAUUUGACUCUAUCGUCACUCCCGCCUUCUUUGGGACCACCUGUACUGGACAUACCCAGGGGCUAUCUGAUAUAGCAAAAAUUAUCCCCACAUCCAGUAGUUUUAGGAUCUCUUUCUUCACUACCUCCAUCAUGAGAGGAUUCAAUCUCCUUUGAGCCUGCCGAAUAGGUUUAGCGCCCUCCUCGAGUCGAAUCCGAUGUGUACAUACCGCGGGGCUAAUUCCCUUGAUAUCGGUGAUAGUCCAUCCUAUCGCCUGCUUAUGUUCUCUCAAAACUCGAAUCAAUUUGUCUUCUUGGACUUUUGAUAAACUGGCGGAAAUAAUCACUGGGAGUGUCUCCCCCUCACCUAAGUACGCAUACUUUAGGUGUUUUGGCAGCGGUUUCAACUCUAAGAUAGGCGCCUGCACCACAGAUGGAAGUAGCCUUUGGUGAGAUUCAGGUGUAAAAACGGGUGCGAGGUCAUACCUUAUCUUUGUGGUUGGCAACGUCUGCAACGCUCCAAUCACACAUUUGAGCUCUUCACUCAACUCUAUCUCAGCGGUCAUCUCUAACUCGAAGUGCCUGGUCAAGGCAACUUCCAACUCAUCCCUGCCUUCAAUUUCGAAAACCUCACGUACAGCAGAGUCAAUAGCAUUUAUAGAGAAGACAGAGCUAGCAUGUGAUUCUGACAGAUACUUCAUAGAUUCGAAAAUGUUAAAACGAACAAUCUCACCAUCAAAUUCCAUAGAUAGGGUGCCCUUAUUAACAUCUAUUUUAGUUCGAGCUGUGCUCAAGAAGGGUCUACCUAACAGUAAAGGUGAUGGGUCGUGAGAGUGUUCAUCAUCCAUAUCAAGCACGUAAAAAUCAGCAGGGAAAACCAAUUCAUUAAUUUUCACUAAAACAUCCUCAAUCAACCCGUCAGGGUAUGCAUUAGUUCGGUCAGCCAGUUGGAUUAUUAUCCCAGUCUCUUUUAAGGGACCUAAAUUCAAUGAAGCAUAUAUAGACUUGGGCAUCUCAUUAAUUGAGACUCCUAAAUCCAACAUAGCCUUUUCAAUCAAGGAAUUGCCUAUUCUACAAGGAAUAGUGAACAUACCUGGGUCACCGCAUUUCGGUGGAAGCUUUCGUUGCAGAAUCGCUGACACAUUUUCUCCCACUACCACUCUCUCAUUUCCCUUCAAUCGCCUUCGGUUGACACACAGGUCCCUUAAAAAUUUUGCGUAUCUGGGUACCUGUUUAAUCGCAUCUAAAAGAGAAAUAUUGAUCUCCACUUUGCGAAAGAUCUCUAGGACCUAUUUCUCCUUGUCCUGCUUCCUUGGUUUCUCCAAUUUGCUUGGGAAGGGAGGUGGGUUGGAUCUAACUGGCAUGAGUGGGUCCGGGAUUACCUUUGAAUUUUUAUUGUCACCGCCCUCCUCUUCCAGCUCUUUUUCAAUUCGAUCUUCGUCCUUGUCCUUGGGAAUCACCGGGUCAGGUUCUUAGACCUCCUUGCCACUUCUCAAGGUCAUGGCGCUCACAUUCUUCUGGUUUAAUUCGGGCUGAGACGGCAAUUUACCUUGGUUCUGGGAAUCCAAACGGUUGAUUGUUGUGGCCAUUUGACUUAUCUGAUUCCUUAUGUCCUGCAUUUCGGAGUCCGUCCUUUGCUGAUUUUGCGUGAUGGUUGCCUCCGUCCUUUGCUGAUUUUGCGUAAUGGUUGCCAUCAUUUGUUUCAUCAUCUCCUCCAAAGAUGGACCAGAGCUUGGGGGCGGAGGUGGUCGGGGUUGGUAUUGCUGCUGGUACCCCGGUUGCUUAUUUGGCACGAAAUUAGACUGCCUGUUCGGUGCAAAGUUGGGCUGCCUAUUCCCUCCAUAACUGAGAUUGGGAUGAUCUCUCCAUCCGGGAUUGUAGGUGCUUGAGUAAGGGUCGUACUGCUUCCUUGGCGCGGGCGCGUGGCCAGCCAUGUUCACCUGUUCUGCAGUUUCUUCCUGAAUCAUUGGGCACAUGUCUGUAGUGUGACCCAUACCAGUGCAAAUCCCGCACACCCUGGCCUGAGAUGCAUUCCCUACCACCAGUUGCCUAACAACUGAGGUCAACUCAUUCAGCUGCUGCUGGAUAGAGGGUGUCUCUAUCUCAUUCACCUUGCGUAUUGGGACAUCCUCUCUCGUACCGAAUUGUUGUGAAUUUUUCGCCAUCCCCUCUAUCAACUCCCGAGCUUCCCGAGGGGUUUUGUUCACUAGUGCCCCUCCACUUGCAGCAUCAAUUAUGCUCCUAUCUCUGAAGAGGAGCCCCUCAUAAAAAUACUGUAUGAGUAACUGCUCACUUAUCUGGUGUUGGGGGCACUUAUUACACAACCUCUUGAUCGCUCCCAGUACUCAUACAGCGACUCCCCUGGGUGCUGCUUGAUCCUGCAAAUUUCUUUCCUUAGACUUGCAGCCUUGGACGCAGGAAAAUAUUUUUCUAGAAAUCUUUUCUGCAACUGAUCCCAUGUGGUAAUGCUGCCUGGUGGCAGGUAGUACAGCCAGUCUUUCGCAGAGUCUUUCAAUGAGAAAGGGAAUGCCCGCAUUUUUAUUUACUCUUCUGUGAUCCCCGGGAGUUUCAUACUAUUGCACACAACAUCAAACUCCUGCAGAUGUUUAUACGGCUCCUCACCUGGUAAACCAUGAAAAGAAGGUAAGAGUUAAAUAAGGCCAGAUUUUAAUUCAAAUGGAGUGCUGUUAUCUAAAUUUAGGAAUGUGAUGCACAAAGGCUGCUGAUUUAAGUUAGGAGCAGCCAAUUCCCUCAAUGUUCGUGCAUUAGCCAUGGGGAUUUCUUCUUUCUCCGAGUCACUCGAAAUGUCUCCAAACGAAUUUGUUUGUUCAACUUCUGGCUCAGGUCUCUGAGAUGCAGCACUGGAGUGCUCCUCUCUGAGCUGUCUGAUCUCUUUUCUUGUUUUACGCGCGGUCUUCUCUACCUCAGGGUCAAAAAUCAAAUCACCUGUACGAGAAGACUUAGGCAUACACUAGAAAAAUACCAGAAAAUUUAGAACAAAAAUUGAAUUUAAAAAGAAACAAAUGAUAACGCCAGUGCCCGGCAGCGGCGCCAAAAAUUGACAGGUCGUCAGCCUGUGCAAUAAUAAUAAUAAAAUCCUAACUACCACUAAAAGCAGUCAAUAAUUAAUUCUAGGUACUGGAGCAAGGACUCUAGGUGUGCAAUGGGUUACUUGAUUCACCUUGUUUCCGAAGAGUUUGCUUAACCCGAUAUACCAGAAUUAAUUAGUUGACAAAAAUUACUGAAUAGUAGAUAGUGGCAAGUAGGGUCGUCUCCUCAGGGAUUGGGGAUAUUUGUCUCUUUUUAAAUGCCAACUGGUAAGGGGGGAUUUCACCAGAAUGAAACUAAAAUCAAUUGAAUAAUUCAACAGAAAUAAAUAAAUAAUUAACUAGCACAAAUAUAGCAGGAGUUAAAUCAAGAAUGAAUAAAUUCUAGCCAAGGAUGCAACUACUCAGGCACAGUCCACUUAUCCGAUCAUUGAUGCAAGAGAGGUUCACUUAAUUUAUUAAUAGACUAGUUAUAGUUGCCGAUGAACUCUGACAACCAAUUUUUCCUUAAAUUAUUGAUAACCAAGGUACAACCAUUGAUCACCCCUAACCAGAAAAUACUCCUAAGUACGACCAUAGGAACUAAUUUCCCAAUUGCACUAAUGACUAGAAAAACCUAGCCCUAAUCAAUAACACGCUACGAGAGUUAUUUAAAUUAGAUCGCACGUUCCCCUAGUGUGUGAAUACACCAGUUGCCACUAAUAUUAAUCAAUCAAACAAUUACGGAUUUAAUUGACUAAAUUGGCACGAGAUUAAUAAAUCACAUUGAACAUCGGUCCCUUGACAUCCAAUUAAUAAAAUAAUCCCAUGAGAAUGCAAGCAGACAAUGUGCAAAUAUUAAUAAAUUAAGGAACGCGUGAAAACUAAUUAGAUCUCACAGAUUUUCGGGACUGCGCCGUCGAGUUGACCCUUGACUAGAUGAAAGGUUUAGCCACGCCGCAUAAUUAAAUCACCACACGAAUUAUUGGAUUGCAAAGGCAUUGCGGUUUUUUUACUAGAAAGCAAGGAAUAAAUGGUGUUUUUCCCGUUGGGGAAUUUUGUCGAACACCUGGCGUGUGUCAGAGGCCAGUCAAAAGAAAGAGAAAACUAAAACUAAACUAAAAGACUAAAAAUUAGAGGUAAAAAGCCGUUCGUCCCUUCCUUCUGUACGUUCACUACUUAUAAAGCCAAAAGAAAGAUGCUUAAAAGCUAUUUCCCUGUGGUCCCCACACAUGUGGACAAAGCCUCCAAAGUACUUGUUGUUCCAAAUCUCUCUACGUUGCUUUCUUUGAAAAGCCCAAAUGACUAAAUGCCUUGCACUAGCUUGUGGUCCCCACCAAUUCAAGGGCUCAAAGGUUAAAGCCCUUAGAAGUCUGCAUUUUUUCAUACAAGUCCCUCCUUUUUGGUAAUUUUUUGCUUCACUCCUGAAAUUGAUUCCAAAUACCAAAUAUGAGUAAAUAUCAGCAACUAACACAAUAUUUGUCAGCGAUAGAAGGGGAAAUCAAUAAUAAAAUUAUUAACAAAUUAUACCCUAUCAGUUAGCCAAGUGUACUAUCCCGAAUGGAUCUACGGACGGAUGGUUCAAGGGGAAGACUUGAGAAUCCAAGUUGAGGAAGAUGGAGAGGAUGUCAUUGCCAAAAAAUUGGCAAUUGUGGGACUUUGGUGCAUUCAGUGGAACCCUGUGGAUCGUCCUUCAAUAACCUUCGUUCUUCAGAUGCUUGAAGGAAAUGGAGAAAGUCCGAGUCUUCCACCAAGUCCUUUCACCUCAACAGAUCCCAUGAAUCCAAGUACUCCAAGCUUGCAUAGAAGACAUUUGGCUUCAGGAUUGGCAAUGAUCUCUGAGUUAGAAUAAGAUGCUAGAGGUUAAUGUCAACUGAAAGUCUUGUGUAUUAAUAGCUCCCAAUGUUCUGCAAAUGCAAGAAACAAAAAGAAGAAAUUGAUGAAUAAAGUAGAGGUAAUCAAUGAUAUAUUUUACAUGUGUACUGUAUUGUGGCUGAUGGUUAAACUACCUCUUCUUAUGUGGGAUAAUAGCCGUUACUAAAUGCCAUGAUGGCUCUUAAAUAGUUGAAUUCUUCAACACAAGGCAAAACCAUGGCUUAAAAGACUGAACCAUAAGAAAGAAGGAACCAGAAGAAACUUUGAUAAGUCUAUCAGUUAGACCAUUGAGCACUGAAGUUGUUGCUAUUAUUAUUAUAAUAAUUAUUAUUAUUGACAAAAUCAAGUUGUUAUACUUUGUUAUUUUUUUGGGUCAACUCCUUUUGUUGUUAUUUUUGUAUUAAAAAAAAAAGAAAAUUGUCCCCUUAUUGCCUUCAUUUGUUUUGUUAGGCAGCUCGUAUGAUAACCGCUUUCGGGUAGUUAUUCGAGGUCUUCAGAUCGACCCUUACUGGUAACAUGUUGUGCGUUUUGGGCAAACUCUGCACAGCUGCAGGAGAUUAGUUUGGACAAGAUAUCCUAUGUCCACAAAAAAAAAAGUAAUUAGUAAGAAUUUGAUUUGUGGCCUCGAUACAUGUCUGACUGCAAUAAUAAUUAAAGUUGGAUCCACCCAAAACUUUAUUAUUACACGCCUUAACCAAAAAAAAGAAGAAGAAGAAGAAGAAGACGAAGAAGCUUAUCAGCUAAGUGCAUGGAUAACUGGAUACAAAAAAAUUUUGUUAAAAUUUUCCAAUUUAUAUGCUUGAGGGUGAACGCGUACUGCAAAACAUACCUCCUUGCUUUGGCAGAAUAUUGGGAUUUUUUUUUUGUGGGGGUGAACGCGUAGUGAGAGGAGUUUGCUAAAUCUAUAAAUUUUGUGCAGAAAAAACACAUAAAUUUUUAAUGUCGCACUCACUAAAUGAGAGGUGUAGCUGCCUCCAACACAGCUGCCUCAAAUAAUACCCGAAAGCGGUAUUCAUUUUAUUGAUACAGCAGAAAACAGAGCUUGUUAUAAUUUCCAGCCAUUUAUGGCUUCAUUCUUACUCAAUCCAACCCAACAUUAUACACAAAACAAGUCCAGAACACAAAUUCAGUUCAAUAGCCAUUCCAUAGGCUCACAACAACACACGAACAAAGAUUAAGCUAGUAUCAAGUGCGGAAAUGCAAUUACAAAAGACUGAUUUGACGGGCUUUGCGGAAAUAACAUAUCCGAGGCUACGCUUAUCAGAUUGAUACACAGCUUAUACCAUUUUGAAGCUAAGACAAAGGCCUACAACUUUCAUGAAGAGUACUUAGUCUAAUUUCCAGUGUAACCUGAUCAAAUUCCCAAUCCAUAUAACCUGGUUUCAACUAUUCUGCUAAUCAACCGCACUGCACUCAAAUGACCAUAUCUCAGUCUACCGAGGUCCGUUUAAGACGUUCUUAGCGGCGUUACAAAGCUGAGACAAGGCACUAAAACUUUUAUGUUUUAACAAAUGACUAAAUCCAAACGGAUUAUAGUGAAUAACUCAACCAAAAAGGACUGAACUGUCCACACGGAACUCUGGAAAGUGACCUAGAUCAGCGAGGGUAUUUUCAUCUUUUCACAAGCUACGUUGCUCCGAUUGAGUUGAAAUUUUGUGGAAAACUAUAAAAUACCAUUCUCUACAACUUUUAUGUUUUGACCUAAGGCCAUUUCAGCCUCUAACAUGGAGCAACAAAAACGGACAGAAAGGGGGGAAAUUUUCCAGAAAUCUGGAAUUUGUUGAUCUUCAAUGAAACUUUCUCAAAUUUCUUAUUCCAAUCACUACCAAAGCCCCUUAUAUAAACUUAUAUUCAACAUAUACAACUAAACAACAAGUGUAGACAGAAAUUAAUCAAACCCUAACUUGUUUAUUUCAUCCAAUGAUCAUCACAACCACUUGCACAUCUUGAAAUCAAGCCAAAACUUAAGCUAAAUAACAUCUUAACACAAGAUUUAAAAGAUCAAGGACCAUGAUCAGAUUUAAUAUAUCAAAGACAAGCUUGGAUGAGUGAUAAUCCACCUCCUUUGAAAUAAGUAGCAAAAGGCCAAUCAACACCCAAGAAGCUAAUACUUUGUCAGUUUAAUAUUCUUCCAAGAAGCUAUCAGUGCUGAUCGGUUGCAAGAUGAUAGGAGAAGCUUUUUCUUCCUUAGUGAAAAUUCUCUUGUUUUUCUCUUCCCAUAUAUGAUAGACAGAAAAUGCAAGAGACGACCUGAAUUUUUAAUCAAGAAAAUUUUUCCUAACACAAUAUUUUAAUAUUCAAAGCAUAUGCUCCUCUGUAUGCCAAAUUCGAACUCUGCACACUUCUCUCCAAAUAUUUGCAGCAUAAGUGUAAUCCUCAUGAUCACGUUAACUUUAUUUCAUGGGUUAAUUAGUGAAGGUUAUAUAAUCUUGGAGGUUUAUGUGAUUAAGUUUAGAAGUUGGGGGACUAAUUAAUAAUUUGAGCAAGUGUUUAUAUUGGAAGAAUUUUGAGUUGGACCUCACUUUACUCUUCCUAACCCUUCCUACUAUUUCUCUCCAAAAUAUCUCUUUAGUCCUUCUCCUGAGACAUUUGUUUUAGGAGUACUCCUACACCCCUCAUUCGCAAGCCUAAUAUGUCAUCUCUUUCUCUAAGAUUAAAACUUUUAAAAAUGUUGUAUUCGUGCAACACAUAUCAAGAAACGUUUAUUGGAAAACUGAAGUUUAGAUCUUUUCAGAACCGUUUAUCAUUAUGACACAAAGCAAUUCCAUUUUCCUCUCCACUCCCCUUGAAAGCUUAGGCACAAUGACUGACUUUUUGUAAUCAAAUCAUAUGAACUCAGAGACAAUGACAGUAGCAAUCCAUAACUCAAGAGAAGGUGCCAAUGUCGUGAUGCUUCUUACGUACAAAACCUCAACUUAAAUAACUGAACCAACAAGAAGAAACACUAGUUCUCUUCUUCAUGAUUAUUUGAAAAGUAUAUCAGCUAGACCGUGUAGCAUUCGCCUCCACUUACUCAAGCAGGUAGGAUCCAGGAAAUGUCUUAUUCUGCACGUUGAUGAAAUGGAACGACAUGUUUCAAAGGAAAAAUCCACUAGAUAAAGCAUUCACAAGGCUAUGUCAAACUAACAAUUUGACCAGUAACAGCAACACUAUUGGAAAGGAUCGAUCUUACGAAUUUGGAGGAAAUAUUUAGAUAUGCUGCUCGCUGUUUUAGAUAACAUAAUAGUUUAAGAAAAAAAUAUGGAUUGGAGCUCAAUUGUAGAAAUUAUUAAGUUAAACUCAAAGAUUGAUGCUGGUAUUACUAUUAUAUAUGAAGCAUAUAUCAAGGAGCUACCCUUGAGCUUAUUGAUACCAAACUGAUAUUUCAGUUUGCCAUGCUAUCUGUUACUAGGUGGCAUAUUUGAGAGUUUGAAAGACAAAUCCACUAGACAAAGAUUUCACUGAAUGCACGAAUUCUACUUAGUCAUCCAUCUGCUCUAUUUCUAAAGCAACAGAGCUACAUAGGGGCACCGUUGACUCAUCAGAAGAACUACUAUCGCUGCUUCUUUGCAUGGAUAUGGGUGAAUCUGGAGGGUAAAACGACGGUUUAGGAGGCAACUUUAG